rnacentral:tRNA from 1 species
UAAAAGAUUUCAAGUCUUUCGCCUUAACCACUCGGCCAAAUGUGCAUUAGAAAUAACAAAUUUAAUUAUUAAUGUUU